CACCUGUGUGGCUCAGUAGGUGAAGCAUCCGACUCUUGAUACUGGCUCAGGUCAUGAUCUCACAGUUCAUGAGUUCAAGCCCCACAUCAGGCUCCGUGCUGACAGCUCAGAGCCUGGAACCUGCUUCCAAUUCUGUGUCCUCCUCUCUCUCUCUCUGUCCCUCCCCUGCGUGUGCUCUCUCGCUCUCUCGCUCUC